UCUUAUCUUUUCGAUUUAACUUUUAAGGCUGACUAAAGUUUUUGGAAAAUGAAUCCACUGAUUCUGAUUGAUACAGAAAGGAAUAAUGGUCCUAAACGAAUUGUUGAAAAUUUCAAAAAGAAAAAGCUAUGUAUACAAAUGUAACUAUAGUUUUCUUUUGCGAGAUUGGGUGGGGAGCGUUUUUAAUUUUUAGUGAAUGUAGAAAACCAAAACAGAAUAAUUUUGGGUUAUAUUGUUCGAAUGCCAAAACCCCCUUGCACUGAAGCUAUCGUACGCUUUAUUCGGUAUCGUAAGGAUUACCUCCCUUGUGGGUAUACUCUUGCGUGCAUAUCGCUUCGCAAGGAGGUCGUGAUGCAGCUGCAACUGCAACAUGUCAAGUAGCCGGUUUACCAAAGGUGUCAUAAAUGGUCUGGUUAUUGUCGGCUUUGGUGUUAUCGGCUGGGCAUUUUUCACACCAAGUGAAGAGGAAAUGAGAAAGAGACUGAAGGGAUCCCCAAGCCAUAUCCAGACAGAAAUUAAGACAGAGGAACAGUCUCAGAGAGAGAGACGGAACAAGGAGUUGUUUGACGUGAUCAAGAAAGGAGCUGGUAUAACAGAUGAUGAUGUAGCCAAGUGGAAGAAAUAGAAAAAGAUGCUGAAUAUGUGGCAAAAAUAUGAAUUACAUAUUUAUUUUCUCACUGGUGUAUUAUAAAUGAAAUAAAUAUCUAGGCUGGAUAACAUAUUAUGUAAAGGCUAAUCAGGGCGAAGAGAAAAGCGGACUGAACUGUUCAUACAGACACCAUGGAAAUGUUCAGUGUGAGUGACAGUUUUAGCCUCCAUGUACAGUUGCUUUUGAAGCAUCAGCUAGCAGGUUUAUUCAUAAAACAGAAACCUGCAUGCCAAACUGUGAUGUAAUAAGUUUUGCAAUCAAACUGUAAAUAAACUGUAACUUUAUCUUUUUA